rnacentral:rRNA from 1 species
GGCCCUAUCAUGCAAGUCGAGCGAACGGAUAAGGAGCUUGCUCCUUUGAAGUUAGCGGCGGACGGGUGAGUAACACGUGGGUAACCUACCUAUAAGACUGGAAUAACUUCGGGAAACCGGAGCUAAUGCCGGAUAACAUUUAGAACCGCAUGGUUCUAAAGUGAAAGAUGGUUUUGCUAUCACUUAUAGAUGGACCCGCGCCGUAUUAGCUAGUUGGUAAGGUAACGGCUUACCAAGGCGACGAUACGUAGCCGACCUGAGAGGGUGAUCGGCCACACUGGAACUGAGACACGGUCCAGACUCCUACGGGAGGCAGCAGUAGGGAAUCUUCCGCAAUGGGCGAAAGCCUGACGGAGCAACGCCGCGUGAGUGAUGAAGGUUUUCGGAUCGUAAAACUCUGUUAUUAGGGAAGAACAAAUGUGUAAGUAACUGUGCACAUCUUGACGGUACCUAAUCAGAAAGCCACGGCUAACUACGUGCCAGCAGCCGCGGUAAUACGUAGGUGGCAAGCGUUAUCCGGAAUUAUUGGGCGUAAAGCGCGCGUAGGCGGUUUCUUAAGUCUGAUGUGAAAGCCCACGGCUCAACCGUGGAGGGUCAUUGGAAACUGGGAAACUUGAGUGCAGAAGAGGAAAGUGGAAUUCCAUGUGUAGCGGUGAAAUGCGCAGAGAUAUGGAGGAACACCAGUGGCGAAGGCGACUUUCUGGUCUGUAACUGACGCUGAUGUGCGAAAGCGUGGGGAUCCACACAGGAUUC